UGGCGGCGUGCCUAAUACAUGCAAGUCGAACGGCUUUUCUAUGGAAGCUUGCUUCCACUGAGAAGAUAGUGGCGAACGGGUGAGUAACACGUGGGUAACCUGCCCAUAAGAGGGGGAUAACAUCCGGAAACGGUGCUAAUACCGCAUAGUUUUCUUGAUCGCAUGAUUGAGAAAGGAAAGACGGCCUUUGUGCUGUCGCUUAUGGAUGGACCCGCGGCGUAUUAGUUAGUUGGUGAGGUAACGGCUCACCAAGACGAUGAUACGUAGCCGACCUGAGAGGGUGAUCGGCCACAUUGGGACUGAGACACGGCCCAAACUCCUACGGGAGGCAGCAGUAGGGAAUCUUCCGCAAUGGACGAAAGUCUGACGGAGCAACGCCGCGUGAGUGAAAGAAGGUUUUCGGAUCGUAAAACUCUGUUGUCAGAGAAGAACAAGUUGGAGAGUAACUGCUCCAGCCUUGACGGUAUCUGACCAGAAAGCCACGGCUAACUACGUGCCAGCCGCCGC
rnacentral:rRNA from 1 species